GGGCCGUUAGUUCAGUUGGUAGAAUGUGUCUCUCCUAUAUGGGUAAGACGAGGUCCUGGGUUCGAGCCCCAGGCGGCCCU